GCAGGAUGAAUAGUGCCUAACGUUUAAGAUUUAAGUAUAGUGUCUUAGUUUGUUUUUAAAGAUACUUUUUGUUUGUUCUAGUUGAAUCAUUGUUACUAUGAGUUUACAAAAUGCUAUGCCAACAAAUUAAGAAAUAUGAAGUAUAUUUAAAACUAUCGGUGGUUCAACUGUAUUUGUGAGCAAUUCAUUACAGCAAAAUCGGUAUUCAAAGUAUCCAUAAAAGAAAAUUAAAGAUACGGAAAAGUCUAGUAAUGGAAGAAGAAGAAGAAGAUAGUAAAAGAUUCGUGUGGUCUAAUCUCGCAUGCGUUAUUUUGUUUUACGUCCUUUGCCGACAGUUUGUCACCAUGGUCUGUCUUAGUCGUACACUCGUACAGACUGGUAGUACCUUUCAUUUCAUUACAUUAUCUUAGGAAUCUUUAAAUCUCAUAACAUUUUAGAAUAUUUACGCAUUUCUUUCAACAUUUAUCUUUUUUCAUGGUACUCAUGAAUCA
rnacentral:lncRNA from 1 species